AAGGGUAUGGCUCAGUAGUAGAGCAUGUGCUUAGCAUGCACAAGGUCCUGGGUUCAAUCCCCAGGCCCUCC
rnacentral:tRNA from 1 species